rnacentral:rRNA from 1 species
UGGGGAAUAUUGGACAAUGGGCGAAAGCCUGAUCCAGCCAUGCCGCGUGUGUGAAGAAGGUCUUCGGAUUGUAAAGCACUUUAAGUUGGGAGGAAGGGCAGUAAGCUAAUACCUUGCUGUUUUGACGUUACCGACAGAAUAAGCACCGGCUAACUUCGUGCCAGCAGCCGCGGUAAUACGAAGGGUGCAAGCGUUAAUCGGAAUUACUGGGCGUAAAGCGCGCGUAGGUGGUUUGAUAAGUUGGAUGUGAAAGCCCCGGGCUCAACCUGGGAAUUGCAUCCAAAACUGUCUGACUAGAGUAUGGCAGAGGGUGGUGGAAUUUCCUGUGUAGCGGUGAAAUGCGUAGAUAUAGGAAGGAACACCAGUGGCGAAGGCGACCACCUGGGGCUAAAUACUGACACUGAGGUGCGAAAGCGUGGGGAGCAAAACAGGAUUAGAUACCCUGGUAGUCCACGCCGUAAACGAUGUCGACUAGCCGUUGGGAUCCUUGAGAUCUUAGUGGCGCAGCUAACGCAUUAAGUCGACCGCCU